rnacentral:tRNA from 2 species
GGAGGUGUGCCAGAGCGGUCGAAUGGGGCGGUCUCGAAAACCGUUGAGCCGUUUUUACGGUUCCGGGGGUUCGAAUCCCUCCACCUCCG